AGAGUUUGAUCCUGGCUCAGAUUGAACGCUGGCGGCAUGCUUUACACAUGCAAGUCGAACGGUAACAGGGAGCUUGCUCCGCUGACGAGUGGCGAACGGGUGAGUAAUAUAUCGGAACGUACCCAAGAGUGGGGGAUAACGUAGCGAAAGUUACGCUAAUACCGCAUACGAUCUAAGGAUGAAAGCAGGGGACCGCAAGGCCUUGUGCUCCUGGAGCGGCCGAUAUCUGAUUAGCUAGUUGGUAGGGUAAAGGCCUACCAAGGCAUCGAUCAGUAGCUGGUCUGAGAGGACGACCAGCCACACUGGAACUGAGACACGGUCCAGACUCCUACGGGAGGCAGCAGUGGGGAAUUUUGGACAAUGGGCGCAAGCCUGAUCCAGCAAUGCCGCGUGAGUGAAGAAGGCCUUCGGGUUGUAAAGCUCUUUUGUCAGGGAAGAAACGGGUGGGGCUAAUAUCCUCAUCUAAUGACGGUACCUGAAGAAUAAGCACCGGCUAACUACGUGCCAGCAGCCGCGGUAAUACGUAGGGUGCAAGCGUUAAUCGGAAUUACUGGGCGUAAAGCGUGCGCAGGCGGUUUUGUAAGUUUGUCGUGAAAUCCCCGGGCUCAACCUGGGAAUGGCGAUNAAGACUGCAAGGCUAGAGUUUGGCAGAGGGGGGUAGAAUUCCACGUGUAGCANUGAAAUGCGUANAGAUGUGGAGGAACACCGAUG
rnacentral:rRNA from 1 species